rnacentral:rRNA from 1 species
AUUGAACGCUGGCGGCAUGCCUAACACAUGCAAGUCGAACGGAAACGAUGGGAGCUUGCUCCCAGGCGUCGAGUGGCGGACGGGUGAGUAAUACUUAGGAAUCUGCCCAGUAGUGGGGGACAACAUUCGGAAACGGAUGCUAAUACCGCAUACGCACUACGGUGGAAAGUGGAGGAUCUUCGGACUUCACGCUAUUGGAUGAGCCUAAGUCGGAUUAGCUUGUUGGUGGGGUAAAAGCCUACCAAGGCGACGAUCCGUAGCUGGUCUGAGAGGACGAUCAGCCACACUGGGACUGAGACACGGCCCAG